AGAGUUUGAUCCUGGCUCAGGACGAACGCUGGCGGCGUGCUUAAUGCAUGCAAGUCGAACGAAGAACCCACUAUGGGUAACCACUGUGGAAUUCUUAGUGGCGAACGGGUGAGUAACACGUGAGAAACCUGCCCCGGAGACCGGAAUAGCCCAGGGAAACCUGGAUUAAUACCGGAUACCCUCUUGCGAUCGCAUGAUCGAUUGAGGAAAUGGUCCGCCGCUCCGGGAUGGUCUCGCGCCCUAUCAGCUAGUUGGUGAGGUAACGGCUCACCAAGGCAAUGACGGGUAGCUGGUCUGAGAGGACGAUCAGCCACACUGGGACUGAGACACGGCCCAGACUCCUACGGGAGGCAGCAGCAGGGAAUUUUGCACAAUGGGCGAAAGCCUGAUGCAGCGACGCCGCGUGGGGGAUGAAUGCCUUCGGGUUGUAAACCCCUUUCAGGAGGGACGAAGCGAAAGUGACGGUACCUCCAGAAGAAGCCCCGGCCAACUACGUGCCAGCAGCCGCGGUAAUACGUAGGGGGCGAGCGUUGUCCGGAUUUAUUGGGCGUAAAGAGCUCGUAGGCGGCUCAGCAAGUCGGCCGUGAAAACCUGAGGCUCAACCUCAGGACGCCGGUCGAAACUGCUGUGGCUAGGGUUCGGUAGAGGA
rnacentral:rRNA from 1 species